GCCCGGCGCUGGCAGGCGGGUCUGCGCUGCACAAUGUGCCUCCUUGUUCAGCCCGUCCCAGGGCCGGCUUGUGGGGAAUGGCAGGGAAUCGCCUCCGUUUCCUGCUGGAGUUUUAUUACAUCUCCAUAUAAAUAAAUAAAUACAAUUCAGAGGAGGAGAGCAGAACCACGGGGCAGCUUGGAGCCAGGCAGGACGUGGGCUGGGCUGAGCCCCGUGGCGGGGCCGGGAUGGGGGGAACGUCAAACUGGGGCACCCCGGCACAGGGCAGCGGGAAGGGGCCCCCCAGGCCCGCCUUGUUCGUUCAGGGGCUGCGCCCCAGGAUGCUGUGUCCCUGUGCCUUCCUACCCCCCAUAGUGCGCAGAGCAGCGUUCUCCCCCAGCGUCACCCCGGGCUCCUUCGGGCAGCCCCACUCCCCCAGCCCCAGGAGCAGCCACACUCCUCCAGCCAAACCGUUUUGCCCUGGGGCAGGGCAGUGGGGCUGGACCCUGGCAGGGAUGUGUCCAACCCAUAUCGCAUCGGAGAGGAGAUGGCUGUGAGGAACAGAACUCGCUGGAGAUGCCUGUAACUUCUUACUGAAAGGGCCAAGCUGUCCUUUUGCUCAAACCAAGGCAGGUCUCCGGUGAAAUCUGGAUGUGCUGAACCUGUGGAACCCCUGCAACCUCCCCUGGUGCCUGCAAGCAUGAGCAGCCCCUUGGCAGCCCCAUAUGCACGUGCUGGGAAGUCACAGAGUUAUAGAGUUGUUUCAGUUGCAGGAGACCCGUAAGAUCAUUAAGUCCUCCUUGUGAUUGCUGCAGACUCCAGCACACCUACGGCAGUGGGAUGCAGAAACUUUCCCCCAAAGCACACGGCCAUGCUGGAGAGCCAGGCCAGCCCCCACUGCUGCAGGCACUGCCGUGGUGCAGGGGUGGCCUGGGAACAGUUCUGGUACUUCCUCCCGGUGCUUUUGGGCUGAACUCGGAUCCUCCAGCAGGGUUCAGGCCAAGCCUUGGGAUCAGGCUGCAGCAGCCAAGGCUGAGGCAACGCCAGCUGAUAUCUGCACACCCCUGAGAUCUCACCGUCCUCUCCCCAGCAUCCCACUGCCAACAGAGCUCGCUGGCACCGGGGAACGCUGCACUGCGCCGCUUCUUUCCCUUCCUUGGUGCAGGUCAGCCCGCGUUCAGCUCACAGCCCUUCCUCUUUCUGGUGGUUCCAACCCAGCAUUGGGUCCCUUCUUGCUCCUGGCCUGCCGUUCUUCCUCUCCCAUCUGGCUCCUCCACCAGCACUUCACUCAUCUUCUCCUCUCUGUGUGGAGCACGCUAUGAGACCAUCACCUCCAACGUGUCUGGAGGAGCAGUUCCAGAGGGGGGUCCUAUAACCAUGUCUCCAACUGUCGUCCCGAGCACCACGGUCAUUCGGCAGCUUGCAUGGCAGUCUGCAGCCAGGCUCCACACACAGGCAGUAACAGCGUGGCCUUUAGCAGUGUGCUCGGAUCAGAGCUGCUGGAGGAGCACUAAAGCCAAAGCUGCACAGCAGCUGCACACUGCUACCUGAGCAGCACUGCCAUGUCAUGCACUGAGCUUAAAGGCAUCCCCAAACGCCAACGUGUAUUAAAAACGCUGAAGAAUGCAAAGUUUCACGGCAGCACAAGAGGGGGCUGUGCCUCCUUAGGGCUCAUCGCAGCACCAGGAGCACAAGGAGGGAACGUGGAAUGGAAACCCUCAGCCCUGCAACGCUUCCCCGGACCCCUCCCGUCUGCCCAGUGUGGCUCUCGCAGCCUUUUCCACGAGGACGCUCCGUAAUGGGAGCAAAGGAGAAGCUGGGCUACGCUGAGUGAGAGGAGAGGGAGGAAAGGAGAGGGCAGAGCAGCAAAGCCCUUGGAAAGCAGCCAGGCGACGGAUGAGCAACGGAGAGGUCCACGGGGAGUAACCCACGUGCAGCACCAGCAGCACUUCCACAGCUCCCCCACGUCCGACUGGAGCCGACCAAAGGAGGGACGCCCUGGACUGCUACGGGCCCUGCAGCUCAGGGCAGUGCUGCCAGCGAGCACAGAGGGCUGGGCACAGCUCACCUGCAGCUGGCAGGGCUCACCCUGCCGCCACAGCGCCAUCGCUGC
ensembl:lncRNA